GACGAACGCUGGCGGCGUGCUUAACACAUGCAAGUCGAACGGAAAGGCCCUGCUUUUGUGGGGUGCUCGAGUGGCGAACGGGUGAGUAACACGUGAGUAACCUGCCCUUGACUUUGGGAUAACUUCAGGAAACUGGGGCUAAUACCGGAUAGGAGCUCCUGCUGCAUGGUGGGGGUUGGACAGUUUCGGCGGUUGGGGAUGGACUCGCGGCUUAUCAGCUUGUUGGUGGGGUAGUGGCUUACCAAGGCUUUGACGGGUAGCCGGCCUGGGAGGGGGACCGGCCACAUGGGGACUGCGAUACGGCCCAGAGUCCUACGGGAGGCAGCAGUGGGGAACAUUGCACAAUGGGGCGAAGCGUGAUGCAGCAACGCCGCGUGCGGGAUGACGGCCUUCGGGUUGUAAACCGCUUUCGCCUGUGACGAAGCGUGAGUGACGGUAAUGGGUAAAGAAGCACCGGCUAACUACGUG
rnacentral:rRNA from 1 species